rfam:Caenorhabditis briggsae complete genome, chrI
CAAGCCUCCCGACGCUGCUAUAAGUCGGGGCGCAUAGGCGAGGCGAUGAUUGAGAGAUUCCCACACGCAAUUUCUACUGAUCCGCAUGAAGGUUAAACUUCCUUGGACGUCUGAGCCGC